CACGUAGGGCGCAAGCGUUGUCCGGAAUUAUUGGGCGUAAAGAGCUCGUAGGCGGUUUGGUAAGUCGGGUGUGGAAUCUCCACGCUCAACGUGGAGGGGCCACUCGAUACUGCCAUGACUCGAGUCCGGUAGAGGAGUGUGGAAUUCCUGGUGUAGCGGUGAAAUGCGCAGAUAUCAGGAAGAACACCCGUGGCUAAGGCGGCUCUCUAGUACGGUACUGACGCUGAGACGCGAAAGCGUGGGGAGCGAACAGG
rnacentral:rRNA from 1 species